rnacentral:lncRNA from 1 species
UAUUGUGGUCAAUUAACUGAAGUCAUGUUUGAUUUCCUAAGAGUACAUACUUAAUUUUAUGAAUAAAAAAUGAGUCAGAAAAAAGAUUAAUGCAUUUUUCACCUCCUAUGGGUUUGUAAAUUUCUACAAUAUAAUAAAUAGACACUUCCCUCAAAAAUCCAAGAAAAUGCCAUUGAACUUCAGUAGAAAACUAUGAAGACACAAAUGUUUGUCACAUGUAUUUGGAGAAUAAUUGUGUAAAAUUCUGACUCCAAAUAUGUUAUAAGUACACUUAGAACACCAUAAAUGUAAUCUGGAGUCUUUAUAGGUGUACUCUCAUUGUAAUUUGUCUAAAGAGUUUGCAUUACCUAAAUGACAUGAACAAUGAAAUUAAUUAGAUUUUCUACUAUACUUCAUAAAUAGAAGUUGUUGGUAGGCAAAGAAAAUUAAGACUGAUUUCAUGUUUUUGUUAAAUAAAGAACCACAGAAAAGUAAAUAUCAGGAAACAAUGAUAACAUUUAUAGAGAUAUGUAUUCAGAUUUAGUAAAAUGUAUU